rnacentral:rRNA from 1 species
UACGGGGGGGGCAAGCGUUGUUCGGAAUUACUGGGCGUAAAGGGCGCGUAGGCGGCUUUUCAAGUCGGGCGUGAAAUCUCCGGGCUUAACCCGGAAGGGUCGUUCGAUACUGUUGAGCUAGAGUGUGGAAGAGGCAACUAGAAUUCCGUGUGUAGCGGUGAAAUGCGUAGAUAUACGGAGGAACACCGGUGGCGAAGGCGGGUCUCUGGGCCGAUACUGACGCUGAGGAGCGAAAGCGUGGGGAGCGAACAGG